rnacentral:rRNA from 1 species
UACGUAGGGGGCAAGCGUUGUCCGGAAUUAUUGGGCGUAAAGAGCUCGUAGGCGGUUUGUCGCGUCGGAUGUGAAAGCCCGGGGCUUAACUCCGGGUCUGCAUUCGAUACGGGCAGACUAGAGUGUGGUAGGGGAGAUCGGAAUUCCUGGUGUAGCGGUGAAAUGCGCAGAUAUCAGGAGGAACACCGGUGGCGAAGGCGGAUCUCUGGGCCAUUACUGACGCUGAGGAGCGAAAGCGUGGGGAGCGAACAGG